UCUUAUUCAAGUUUUCAACUCAGUCAUUCGUUUAAGAUGCAAUCUUGUGUUAUAAGUAUUAGGCUAUCAUGAUUAUACAGUGAGCAAGCUAUAUAAAUAAGUAUUUAAUAUAAUAAAAGUGUAGAGCAACAACCGAGGGUGUAAGGUAAAGGCUGAAUAUUGUAGAUUUAUUACAAUAUGUUGCAUGUUUGAAUUAAAAUACCUGUGGAUAUGCAGGAGCACACACUCUACAAAGGCCUGACUGGAGAUUUGCCUGAUCUAUCCGUCCUUCAGAUGACAGCGGCUCACUUCAAGAGCAGGUGAAGCAAGUUGGGACAAUGUUGAAGACAUUUGCUCGCACUGGGCAAUCGGGUGCAGAUCAAACCCUAAUGCUGCGACGUCUUGGAGUUUGGCGAUGUUGUGCGUAGCAUGGACGACAAAAUGCUAUGCUGCAACGUUUCAGUGCCAAUGUGUCUGUUGGAGAGUUAUCCCUGCCAGGGGAUCUGUUACUCCCCCCUAGACACCCAGGAAGAUUUGGCGUUGCUUGACAACAGUUUGAGGCAGGAUAAAGAGCUCCAGCAACGAUUUCUUCGGUUUUUGGCAAUCAAAUGUGGGAGGGACCUAAAGACAACCGUGUGGCGAAUGCUUCAGAGUAUCUUCUCUAAUCACCUUUCCAUCAAUACAACCUGGACUGGUGUAG